rnacentral:rRNA from 1 species
UACGUAGGGUCCGAGCGUUGUCCGGAAUUACUGGGCGUAAAGCGCUCGUAGGUGGUUUGUCGCGUUGUUCGUGAAAACUCACAGCUUAACUGUGGGCGUGCGGGCGAUACGGGCAGACUUGAGUACUGCAGGGGAGACUGGAAUUCCUGGUGUAGCGGUGGAAUGCGCAGAUAUCAGGAGGAACACCUAUGGCGAAGGCAGCUCUCUGGGACGGUACUGACGCUGAGACGCGAAAGCGUGGGGAGCGAACAGG